rnacentral:lncRNA from 1 species
UUAGUGACUAAUGAGUGUGAGUAAAUGACUUGUUUCUACAAAGGAUUCUAGGUGCUUACAUCAUUCAUCUUGUCUGGCAUGAAGGAGUCUUUAGCCCCAGGGAACGGGUAAGAUAGCAUCCUGAUGAUUAACUUUCUUUAAACUUGGUUUUAUCAGUAACGUCAUUGUUACUGAUUGUUACUCACCUACAGGUGAGGAGUAGAUUACAUAUGCAACAGAUCUUUCUUUUUUAGACAAUUCAUGGCAGCCAGGAGAGAAAUAAAGCUGUAUCUUUAUUAAAUAUGUAAAUUAUUCCUCCACUCAUACUGGCUUAGCUCCUCUUCCUCUUCCUUUUAAUGAGAGCAGUUUAAAUUAGAGCUGCUUGGCGUAUGGCAGCCAGGCCUGGGAUGAGUGUUUUGUCUCGGGGGAUGGAGAGGGAUCAUUAAAAGUUAUCUAUGUAUUUUUUAUCUUUGACCCUACUGUCUUAAGAUAAUCUUAAAAAGAGAAGUUGACUGUAAAUAUUGUUUAGCCCCACCCCAUCCUUGCAAAAGAAAUCAAAAAAUAAAACACAGAUCCCAAAUAAGUAUUUUUAAGAGACUUGGACAAACAUAUGCUUUCUGCUCCUAUGC